rnacentral:lncRNA from 1 species
CUUUUAGAUGUCACACCAUUGUCCAUUGGUUUGGAAACACUUGGUGGUGUGAUGACAAAGAUCAUUCCAAGAAAUACAACAUUGCCUACCUCCAAAUCAGAAGUGUUCUCUACCGCUGCUGAUGGUCAGACAAGUGUAGAAAUUAAUGUCCUCCAAGGAGAGCGAGAAUUUGUUAGGGACAACAAAUCUUUAGGUAGCUUCCGGCUUGAUGGAAUUCCUCCUGCCCCAAGAGGGGUUCCACAAAUUGAAGUGAAAUUUGACAUUGAUGCCAAUGGUAUUCUUUCCGUGACUGCUAUUGACAAGGGUACUGGGAAGAAGCAAGACAUCACCAUUACAGGUGCCAGCACAUUGCCUGGUGAUGAGGUAUGAUUUUGACUUCCAAUUCUACUAGGGACUGUCUCCUUUAACAAUUCUAGCUUGGUCAACAAGUUUUGUGUUUAUAAGUUGCUGGAAUUUGCCUUUUUAAAAAAAUUUCCUUCUAUUAUUGGCUUUUAUUGCCGUUGGUUGUAUAUGGAGCAAUAUGUUUUGCGUGUCAUUCCAUUUUAGCUCCCCUUGCUGCUCAUAUGUGAUGGGAUUUCUGGUUGCAUGGAAACAGGUCGAGAGAAUGGUUAAAGAAGCUGAAAGAUUUGCCCAGGAAGACAAAGAGAAGAGAGACGCCAUAGACACAAAGAACCAGGCCGAUUCUGUUGUCUACCAGACAGAGAAGCAGUUGAAGGAACUUGGAGACAAAGUACCAGGGCCAGUGAAAGAAAAGGUUGAGGCUAAACUUGGAGAGCUUAAAGAAGCAAUCUCAGGAGGGUCAACUCAGACCAUGAAGGAUGCUAUGGCUGCCCUUAACCAAG